rnacentral:rRNA from 1 species
UACGUAGGGGGCGAGCGUUGUCCGGAAUUACUGGGCGUAAAGAGAGCGUAGGCGGCACUACAAGUCUCAUGUGAAAUACCCGGGCUUAACUUGGGGGUUGCAUGGGAAACUGUAGAGCUUGAGUACAGGAGAGGCAAGCGGAAUUCCUAGUGUAGCGGUGAAAUGCAUAGAUAUUAGGAGGAACCCCAGUGGCGAAGGCGGCUUGCUGGACUGAAACUGACGCUGAGGCUCGAAAGCGUGGGGAGCGAACAGG